GCCUGAUGCAGCGACGCCGCGUGGGGGAUGACGGCCUUCGGGUUGUAAACCCCUUUCAGCACAGACGAAGCGCAAGUGACGGUAUGUGCAGAAGAAGGACCGGCCAACUACGUGCCAGCAGCCGCGGUAAUACGUAGGGUCCGAGCGUUGUCCGGAAUUACUGGGCGUAAAGAGCUCGUAGGUGGUUUGUCGCGUUGUUCGUGAAAACUCACAGCUCAACUGUGGGCGUGCGGGCGAUACGGGCAGACUAGAGUACUGCAGGGGAGACUGGAAUUCCUGGUGUAGCGGUGGAAUGCGCAGAUAUCAGGAGGAACACCGGUGGCGAAGGCGGGUCUCUGGGCAGUAACUGACGCUGAGGAGCGAAAGCGUGGGGAGCGAACAGGAUUAGAUACCCUGGUAGUCCACGCCGUAAACGGUGGGUACUAGGUGUGGGUUUCCUUCCUUGGGAUCCGUGCCGUAGCUAACGCAUUAAGUACCCCGCCUGGGGAGUACGGCCGCAAGGCUAAAACUCAAAGAAAUUGACGGGGGCCCGCACAAGCGGCGGAGCAUGUGGAUUAAUUCGAUGCAACGCGAAGAACCUUACCUGGGUUUGACAUGCACAGGACGUGCCUAGAGAUAGGUAUUCCCUUGUGGCCUG
rnacentral:rRNA from 1 species